rfam:Virgibacillus chiguensis strain CGMCC 1.6496 genome assembly, contig: Ga0104465_101
CCAGUGCUACAACCGCUCAGAACAGGUUGUAAACUCAAUGUGUAGUACCUGUAUGGCGAGUCUUAGUUUAUGG